rnacentral:rRNA from 1 species
GAUGAACGCUGGCGGCGUGCCUAAUACAUGCAAGUCGAGCGAACGAACGAGAAGCUUGCUUCUCUGAUGUUAGCGGCGGACGGGUGAGUAACACGUGGAUAACCUACCUAUAAGACUGGGAUAACUUCGGGAAACCGGAGCUAAUACCGGAUAAUAUUUUGAACCGCAUGGUUCAAAAGUGAAAGACGGUCUUGCUGUCACUUAUAGAUGGAUACGCGCUGCAUUAGCUAGUUGGUAGGUAACGGCUUACCAAGGCAACGAUGCAUAGCCGACCUGAGAGGGUGAUCGGCCACACUGGAACUGAGACACGGUCCAGACUCCUACGGGAGGCAGCAGUAGGGAAUCUUCCGCAAUGGGCGAAAGCCUGACGGAGCAACGCCGCGUGAGUGAUGAAGGUCUUCGGAUCGUAAAACUCUGUUAUUAGGGAAGAACAUAUGUGUAAGUAACUGUGCACAUCUUGACGGUACCUAAUCAGAAAGCCACGGCUAACUACGUG